AGUCCCCAAUAUGUAGUAGUCAUAUUGCACUAGUAUCAACUGUUUUUUACCAACUGACUUACAAACCUCAGAUCAACAUUUUUAUUUUCUUCUUGAUAUCAGUUCCUUUGUACAACAUGUGCUAAAACUGUAGGCCUAUCUUAAAUCUGACACAGUAAACUCUAAGCAUACAGGAAUCUAGUUUUUGAAAAUGAACACAUUCCCAAGUUUGAAUUCGGAUCUAAAAAAAUCUAUGUUCACGAGAAAAUAAAAGCCUUUUUGGGCCUUAGAUGGUGCUGAAAUCAGCAAUGACCACUCACUCAUCAGUGAGUCACACCUGGUAAUCAGUGCCUUCCUCUUUGCAUUGUAGACCUUUAGUGUGUGUGAAAGUGUGUGUGUGUGUGUGUGUGUGUGUGUGUGCAUGCACGUGUGUGUUUGUGUGUGAAUGUAUGUGUUCAUAGGCUACAGAAAGUAGUCCGUAUGGCGCCCAGUGAAACCUCAAGAUUCAGUCCAGAUACAUCACCCAAAGAGGACAAUGGAGGGCAGCAGGAGAGUCUACAAGGAGUUUUCCUCAAGGCCUAGACUAGACUGUACCUCUCCUUACUCCCCUCUCUGUCGCCAUCUAUUGGUGGGAGCAUAUUCAACUAAGCCCUGGAGCCCAGCUGAGGAAGAGUAGGAGAGCAACCCCAGCAGCAGCACAUCGUCCCCUCUCAGGUAAUUGCUUCUUUUAUCCACAAACAGCUACUUUCACAUUGGACAUCCAGCCGUCCUAAUGGCCCCUUAUUUAAAUAAAUGGGGGUAACAGUGUGGGGUUGGUGACCCCCUCAGAGCCGGCAGGCCUCUCCAUACAGGCACACCUGCUGAAACAAGGUAACGUUUAUAACUGACACCUUCACGGGCCAGAACAAAAUGGCUGGCAGGGUCAGUGCUGGAGGAGCGCACAGGGCCCGUCAUAUUGCAAAAAUAUCCAUUUGCUAAAGCUUUGCUCUUGUGGUUGCCAGGCUACCAACUAAUAUAGGGCGACCAAGCGUGCGUCAGGAAAACAGAAGUAAGAUGUUGACUUUGAGAUAAGUACCUCUUCAAAUUAAAC
rnacentral:lncRNA from 8 species